rnacentral:rRNA from 1 species
CCUACGGGAGGCAGCAGUAAGGAAUAUUGGUCAAUGGAGGCAACUCUGAACCAGCCAUGCCACGUGCAGGAUGACGGCCCUAUGGGUUGUAAACUGCUUUUAUACAAGAGAAAACCCUGGUACGUGUACCAGGUUGAUAGUAUUGUAAGAAUAAGCAUCGGCUAACUUCGUGCCAGCAGCCGCGGUAAGACGAAGGAUGCAAGCGUUAUCCGGAUUCAUUGGGUUUAAAGGGUGCGUAGGCGGACUGAUAAGUCAGUGGUGAAAUCUCUUUGCUUAACAAAGAAACUGCCAUUGAUACUGUCGGUCUAGAGUAUAGAUGACGUUGGCGGAAUAUGACAUGUAGUGGUGAAAUACUUAGAUAUGUCAUAGAACACCGAUUGCGAAGGCAGCUAACGAAACUAUAACUGACGCUGAGGCACGAAAGUGCGGGGAUCAAACAGGAUUAGAUACCCUGGUAGUCCGCACCGUAAACGAUGAUUACUCGUUGUUGGCGAUAUGACAGUCAGCGACCAAGCGAAAGCGAUAAGUAAUCCACCUGGGGAGUACGCCGGCAACGGUGAAACUUAAANGAUGAGNNGAGAGNGCGAGGACGACGACGAGGGGAGGAGG